CCUACGGGUGGCAGCAGUGGGGAAUAUUGCACAAUGGGCGCAAGCCUGAUGCAGCCAUGCCGCGUGUAUGAAGAAGGCCUUCGGGUUGUAAAGUACUUUCAGCGGGGAGGAAGGCGAUAAGGUUAAUAACCUUGUCGAUUGACGUUAUCCGCAGAAGAAGCACCGGCUAACUCCGUGCCAGCAGCCGCGGUAAUACGGAGGGUGCAAGCGUUAAUCGGAAUUACUGGGCGUAAAGCGCACGCAGGCGGUCUGUCAAGUCGGAUGUGAAAUCCCCGGGCUCAACCUGGGAACUGCAUUCGAAACUGGCAGGCUAGAGUCUUGUAGAGGGGGGUAGAAUUCCAGGUGUAGCGGUGAAAUGCGUAGAGAUCUGGAGGAAUACCGGUGGCGAAGGCGGCCCCCUGGACAAAGACUGACGCUCAGGUGCGAAAGCGUGGGGAGCAAACAGGAUUAGAUACCCGCGUAGUC
rnacentral:rRNA from 1 species